rnacentral:rRNA from 1 species
UACGUAGGGUGCAGGCGUUAAUCGGAAUUACUGGGCGUAAAGCGCGCGUAGGCGGCUCUUCAAGUCAGGCGUGAAAGCCCCGAGCUUAACUCGGGAACUGCGCUUGAUACUGUCGAGCUAGAGUGUGGAAGGGGCGAUUGGAAUUCCGUGUGUAGCGGUGAAAUGCGUAGAUAUCGAGAGGAACACCUGCGGCGAAGGCGGGUUGCUGGGCUGAUACUGACGCUGAGGCGCGAAAGCCAGGGGAGCGAACGGG